UGGUGUGUCCGCGAGCAUCGGCAGAGCAGCGGGGUUGGCUUCCCAACACGCGGCCUCCGCAGGCUGCGUGUUCCAGAGGGGAAGCCAAGACGCCAGCCUGCCGCCGUCAGUGACAGCUCAAAAGUGGUCUUUCUCCUGAGGGGCCUCCUGAGUUCCAGGAGUGAGAACGGCUCGGCUGUCACCGGAGUAAGGCUUUGUUCUCUGGCGCUGUUGCGACCGGGAACCUCUGCAGGCUUCCGAGGGGAGAAAAGAGGAAAGCGAUCCACGAGCUUCCGCCCGCCCCUAAAGGCGUGCAGGCGAGGACGAAACGGCCGGGCUUUCCUCGACCGGCCUCUUCGGCAGGCCCCGCCCCGCCUUUCCUUCGCCCCGCCCCCCGAAAACCUGGUGUAGCUGAAAUGAAAAAGCCGCUUUCAGAAACAACGGGAGGGGGACGGAGGGCGCUUCCUCCAGCGCUUCUGGGGAAAGACCGGCGGGAAGACCAGAAGUCGCGCGGUUAAACCUGGCCUUCGUUCGCCGGAAGGCGAAGCCUUUCCGGCGCUUCCCGGGAAAUCCCGCUUGUCCGUGAGCAGCUUCUCUCUCGCGCGCCUUCUUUUCACUCCUUUCCGAAGUUUUUGGCAGCGGCGGGAGGAUGCUGGAGAGCGGCGGCAAGCCGGUGAAGGAGGGCGUGCUGGAGAAACGCAGCGAUGGCUUGCUGCAGCUCUGGAAGAAGAAGCGUUGCAUCCUCACCGAGGAAGGGCUUCUGCUUAUCCCGCCCAAGCAGGAGCCGGCGGCGGCGGCUUCUUCUCCUGCCAACGGAGAGACGGCGGUCGCCGCCGCCAAGAUCAAGCAGUUACCCUUCUCCACCAUGAAGACAGUGGACUGCGUAGAACGGAAGGGCAAGUACAUGUAUUUCACAGUGGUGAUGGCCGAGGGGAAGGAGAUCGACUUUCGGUGCCCACAGGAUCAAGGCUGGAACGCCGAGAUCACGCUGCAACUCGUGCAAUACAAAAACCGGCAGGCCAUCCUGGCGGUCAAGUCGACCCGGCAGAAGCAGCAGCACCUCGUCCAGCAACUCGGGCCCCGCCUCCGGAGCGCCUCCAACUCCGCCUAGACGGGCACCCCCGACAGGUACUCGCUUUGCCCGCUUCCCGCCUUGCGCCCGCGGUCGCCGGACUUGUUCUCGGCUGCGUAGGGCGUAGGAGGGUUCUUCCCCCUCCCCUCAAGCUUUCCCAGCGUCGGAGGGAGCUCCUCAGAAAAUAAACAAGCGAAGCUGCGUGGCAGCUUGAACCCUCUUUUGUUCUGCAGAAGCGCCCACCUUUGCUAUGCGGUUCCUGCUUUGGGGAAGGGGAGAACCCACGCACCAGAAUCAAUUUUACUGUGAUCUUCACCCGUAGGGGCUUUCUUACAUAUAUUCAGUACAUAUGCAGAGGCCCUGCAUGGACUUUAUUAUCUUUUCCUACAAGCCCUGUUUAACCUGGUAUGCUGCAGAAGUGUGGAGAUCAAAUUUAACAGGCGCUUCUGGAAGUAAGAGGAACAGUGAUCAAAGGCUGGCAAAGUAAAGGACAACUACAAGAACAUCAGUUCAGCCCCUGGAUUUUGUCCAGUUUUGACACCAUCUGUGGGUGCUUUAGAGAAGUACUUCAGCUGUUCUGGGUUUUGGCUACUGCUUAAACUUGGGAAAAGCAUAUUUGACCUCAAAGGACAUAUGUCGCACUGUCAUUUUUAAAAUUCCACUAUGUUUUAUUUGUAUGUAUAUUUAUUAGUGGGAAUUUUAAGUUUUCAGGUUACUUCUGAAUGUAGAUCUUCUGAGAGACAAUGAAGUGCAGAAAAUACUUGCUUUGGUGAGUUGUGUAUGCUGCUGUAGAUAGAGGAAGAAACUGAAGCAAGAAGAAAACAGAAAGAUGAAGAAUUUACCAGGACACAAACUCUUCAUAUAGUUUUCACACACUGCUUUGCAACAGUUUUCAUCUCAAAAAGUGGAAGGCUGUUAUGAAAUGAAUGUAUGAAAUGUAUCUUGAUAUGUUGAAGUAUUGUACCAACAUUCUAAAUAAUGAGAACAUCCGCUCCAAAGAAAGCAAUGGCUUUAAAUUAAAAUUCUGAAUUUUUUGUUUAUUCAACAGUCAUUUGAUUUGUGGUAUUAUACAUUGUAUUCAGCAGUAAUCAGUUAUACCAGUUUUCAUAUUUUUACUUCACAAGCAGAAAAUCUUAGUUGACAGAAAAAUAAUUAUAAAAAAGUUAUGUUUUUUUAUAUAUGAGAUUUGUUGGAAGAAGCAUACUAAAGAUAAUUUAUUGCACUUCUUUAUUUAAAUUUGUCCCUAGCCUAUAAUAGUUCUUACUGUGGUUUUACUUUACUCCUUAUCACAUUAUUUUAUAUAAAAUGCCUUAAAGUACUUAAUUGGAUACUUUUACCAAUAUUUCCUAUCAUUUUGGUUUUUUGGGGUCAUGUCCUACACAAUAUUUUUCAUAAUUCCUAUAAUCAAAAUUAUUUCUUCUUAGAACAGUGAUUUAAAUAAGUACAUACAUAAUAAUGUCCAAUUGAAUAUUUAAACUAUGUUAACAUUUAUUUUUUGUCAGCCUAAUCAACUAUUUUGGUCUUCUUGUGUUAUUUGGAAUCUUAAUAUAACAGAAGAGUUCUAAAACCCCUUGACCUAUUGAUUUAAAAUAUAUUUCCUAAUUAUUAAUUUGAUACGGUAAUAUAUACUAUGCUUUUCAGGCUGGAUAUUCUGUUUUGAGGGAUUUGUAAUCUUCCAAACCUAGUUUUUCAUGAAAUAAAAUUCAUUAUGUUCUAAUUAAAAUCAAAUUAGACACAGCACAGUGCACCUUGAAGUAUUAAACAUUUGUAUGCAGUUCUAUGCAUUCUUAUCCUGAUAAAUUAUGGAAGGUUUCUGUAAGGCUUCAGUUCUUAUUCUGACUCUACAGAAAUGACUAAGCAUCAGCUUAGCUCCCAUACUUCUCCAAUUGAGAUCUGAACAAAUGGGCAAUUUAAGAAGCCCAGUUGUACAAAAAUACCAGGUACAAGAACUGCAACUAUAGCCAUAUAGGUUCAGUCUUAUAUUUGGGGCAAAUGUGACCAAAUUAUGAUAAGUGGGCUAUCAUAAGUAAAUAUUUCAACACUUAUAUUUAAGAUUUGAAAUAAACAUAGAUGGGAAGAACAACAGUAUUUCUGGCUUCCUUCUGUCUUAUCAAUCAAAUAAUAUAUUUUACAUCCCUGAGCAGUUUCAUGUUCUAGAAGGAGGUUUUGGACUAAAGCAUUAAAUGAUAUAUUGAAUGCAUUGUGAUUGGUUCAAACACUUGCACUUCAAUAUUAAACUAUACAAAAAAAAGAGUUUAUCUCCAACUUCUUAGUUUAUUACAAUCCAACAGAAAAACAAGUAAUAUUUGAUAAUAGAGGAUAUUAACUGAAAUGACAGCAACACACCAUGCGCAAUGCUCAGCAAAUCUGCAGUGCUUUAUUUUUCAGAUUGAAAUGACCACAGGAUUAUGAAAAAUGAUUCUUAGUUUUCAUAAUAGGAAUCUAGUCUAGGUGAUAUCUUUGAACUGAUUCUAUCAGAAGUCAUUACUUAGUUGUUUUAUAAUCAUAGCACCUGGAGAUAAAAGGAGCAAUGGAACUUAAAAAGCAAUUCAGUGAUUGAGAAGAAUGUACCAUCAUUGUGUAUGUCUGUGUGUCUAUGUUUCUGUAUGUCUAAAAUAUUAUAUUUUAUAAAACUCAAAAAGGUAUAGCCAUGACAGAACCUGCCCAGUUGCUGUCUGAUGAAGUGAUGGUCAUUAAGCGAAGCAUCCUGUUUCCUGUUUUGGGGGUACUUGUUGCUUUUUUUUAAUCUAAAGGGAUUCCAAGAAUAAAGUACAUAAAAUAGUUUUCUUUACAUCCUCCAACAUAGGAUACUUCAUUAUCGGUUUUGUUCAAAAGUACAAAAGUACAUAAAAUAGUUUUCUUUACAUCCUCCAACAUAGGAUACUUCAUUGUCGGUUUUGUUCAAAAGUACAAUAGGUUUUUUUAAAAAAGAGGCCUCUCCUUGAUGUUGCAAUUGUGACACAGAAAAUUUAUUUGCAAUCCUAUAACACUUUGAAAACAGUAGAAGUUGCCUCUAGGCUCUACAAACUUUGAAAAUGUUUUAUAAGAAGUACUUUGGAUCUUGUAUGAGCAUUUUCUGCUGUUCAUUAAAGUCAUUGUCUCUUUUCAUGCUAUUAUGCUCAUGCUGAUUUAACAGUUGUGUUAAUAAGUUGACUCCUUAAAGCAGAAGCAUCUUUUUUCAGUCUUAUAUGGAUGUCUAAAAAGAUGUGGCAUUAUGAGCAGAGAAGUACUGAAAGCAUGCACAGCCCUUUCAAACAUGUAUAGAAUUGCAUAUUUAAGCUAAAAUCUCUUGCUAUGAAGAAAUAUUUUAUAUUUCAUGCAUCCCCAACCAGAUGGCUCACAGAUUUGUCAGAAGAAUAUGACUAUGAGAAUUUUAAUAGCUGGGCUCUAAAACAACUGGAAAGUAAACAUACAACUUUAGGGAAAAGCAAUUAUAUUUAUGUAUCUGGGAGGUAGCAAUAGUACUUAGACUUAUAUGGCACUUCAUAGUGCUUUACAGCCUCCUGAUCCAGAAUUUAGAAAGGAAGUUUCAUGAAUUAGUAAUAGCAGAUGGUUUGCAUACAUAUAUUUAGAUAUUUUUACCCUUUCUAUAUGGUGCUUACCUGAGGUACAGUGACACUCUCUAUAUAAUAUUCUAGAGAAAAUAGCCUUUAUACUGAGGUUGCAAAGAAAUGGUAGGGUAAAUAAUAAUAUUCUGUGUCAUAUAUUUGCUUUUCAAGAAUACAUAUGAUGUGUUAUUUUAAAUUUCUGGCACAAAGAAUAACUCUUCUAUAUUAUAUUCUGAAAAAAAGUCUGUUAAUUAAAAAAAUAACAGCUGCAAACACUAGCUUUUGCGGAUUAGUUACAAUGAUGUGAUUUCAGGCAUUGUGAACUGAAACAAUGUAGCAAACCAAUGUAUGUAAAUAAGGUUCAAACCAAUGUAUACAGUUCGAAGUGUGGAGAAAUGUGAUUUAUUUUUUAACAUGCAUUCCAUUUCAAAUAAAGAAACACCUAUUGGAA